rnacentral:rRNA from 1 species
AGGUAGGUCAGUAUGCCCCGAAUCUCCCGGGCUACACGCGGGCUACAAUGGUUGGUACAAUGGGCAUCUACCCCGAAAGGGGAAGGAAAUCUCUUAAAGCCAAUCGUAGUUCGGAUUGAGGGCUGCAACUCGCCCUCAUGAAGCUGGAAUCCGUAGUAAUCGCGUUUCAACAGAACGCGGUGAAUACGUCCCUGCUCCUU